UACGUAGGGGGCGAGCGUUGUCCGGAUUUAUUGGGCGUAAAGAGCGUGUAGGCGGCCAGGUAGGUCCGUUGUGAAAACUCGAGGCUCAACCUCGAGACGUCGAUGGAAACCAUCUGGCUAGAGUCCGGAAGAGGAGAGUGGAAUUCCUGGUGUAGCGGUGAAAUGCGCAGAUAUCAGGAAGAACACCUAUGGCGAAGGCAGCUCUCUGGG
rnacentral:rRNA from 1 species